AAACCGCUUAGGGGUUAAACCCGAUGAACCUGAAUAUCUGAAUUGAGAAAUUCAAUAUUAUGUUAUUAAUUAUUCAUAUUAAUAUAAUUAUUAACUGGUAUGCACUUUUCUCAUAGUAAGACAUUGCGAUCCAUUAGCUCAUAAUAAAUUUAUCAAACGGCCUGUAUGUAAAGCUUGUUCUAUCUGUAAUAAUUUUACAAUUAUUAUAUGAACAAAUACAUUGCAGUGACCUGAUAAAUAGCUGAUGGAACUUAAAAAUCAUGCAACCAUACAUGUUUAUGUAUCACGAUUUAAAUUUACUAUAUGUUAUUUAAAUGCAGUGAUAGCAUGUAUUUGAUUAGCAAUGCGAAUGAUUUGGGAUACCUUCGGGACCCGUCUUGAAACACGGACCAAGAAGUCUAACAUGUGUGCAAGUCAUUGGGUAUAUUGUUGAAACCUAAAGGCGAAAUUAAAAUAACUAUUUAUGGGAUUACAAGUGAUUUUUUAUAAAUAUCAUUUCUCCAUCCCGGGGCGUUCUAUACGAACAUGGUUUAAGCAAUUAAAUCCUCUGUUCAAGAGCGUACCUUGAGCAUACAUGCUGUGACCCGAAAGAUGGUGAACUAUGCCUGAUCAGGUUGAAGUCAGGGGAAACCCUGAUGGAGGACUGAAGCAGUUCUGACGUGCAAAUCGAUUGUCAGAAUUGGGUAUAGGGGCGAAAGGCCAAUCGAACCAUCUAGUAGCUGGUUCCCUCCGAAGUUUCCCUCAGGAUAGCUGGUGCAAUGAUAAUUCUAACAUAUAAUCUUAUCUGGUAAAGCGAAUGAUUAGAGGCCUUGGGGCCGAAACGACCUCAACCUAUUCUCAAACUUUAAAUGGGUAAGAACCUCAUCUUUCUUGAUUUGAAGAUAUAGAGGUUUAGAUAUAUUGUGCCCAGUGGGCCACUUUUGGUAAGCAGAACUGGCGCUGUGGGAUGAACCAAACGUGAUGUUACGGCGCCUAAAUUAAUGACUCAUAUUGAUACCAUGAAAGGCGUUGGUUGCUUAAAACAGCAGGACGGUGGACAUGGAAGUCGUAAUCCGCUAAGGAGUGUGUAACAACUCACCUGCCGAAGCAACUAGCCCUUAAAAUGGAUGGCGCUCAAGUCAUAUGCCUAUACAUUACCGCUAGAAUAAAAAAAUUUUUGAUUUAUUUUAAAAAUUUGUAAAAUUCUAGUGAGUAGGAGGGUACAAUGGUGUGCGCAGAAGUGUUUGGCGUGAGCCUGCAUGGAGCCGCCAUUGGCACAGAUCUUGGUGGUAGUAGCAAAUAAUCGAAUGAGAUCUUGGAGGACUGAAGUGGAGAAGGGUUUCGUGUGAACAGUGGUUGAUCACGAGUUAGUCGGUCCUAAGCUCUAUGCGAAAGCUGUUUAAUUUAUGUU
rnacentral:rRNA from 1 species